ACGGGAGGCAGCAGCUAAGAAUAUUCCGCAAUGGACGAAAGUCUGACGGAGCGACGCCGCGUGGAUGAUGAAGGUCGGAAGAUUGUAAAAUCCUUUUAUACCUGAGGAAUAAGCCUUCUGAGAGACACGUAAGGUGGUGACUGUAGGUUAUGAAUCAGCAACGGCUAAUUACGUGCCAGCAGCCGCGGUAACACGUCAGGUGCGAGCGUUGUUCGGAAUUAUUGGGCGUAAAGGGCAUGUAGGCGGUUUUGCAAGCUUUGUGUGAAAUCUCGGAGCUCAACUCCGAAAUUGCGUUGAGAACUGCAUAACUAGAGUCACUGAGAGGCAAUCAGAAUUCCAGGUGUAGGGGUGAAAUCUGUAGAUAUCUGGAAGAAUACCAAUGGCGAAGGCAGGUUACCAGCAGAUGACUGACGCUGAGGUGCGAAAGUGCGGGGAGCAAACAGGAUUAGAUACCCUGGUA
rnacentral:rRNA from 1 species